rnacentral:tRNA from 1 species
GCCUGGGUGGCUCAGCGGGUUAAGCGCCUGACUCCUGGUAUCAGCUCAGGUCAUGAUCUCAUGAGUCAUGGGUUCAAGCCCCAUGCUGGGCU